ensembl:miRNA
AGUUAUUAGAUUGGUGCAAAAGUAAUUGCAGUUUUUGCGUUACUUUCUAUAGCAAAACCAUAAUUACUCUUGUACCAACAUAAUACUUC